GAAAUGCGAUAAGUAAUGUGAAUUGCAGAAUUCAGUGAAUCAUCGAGUCUUUGAACGCACAUUGUGCCCCCUGGUAUUCCGGGGGGCAUGCCUGUCCGAGCGUCAUUGCUGCCCUCAAGCACGGCUUGUGUGUUGGGCUUCCGUCCCUGGCAACGGGGACGGGCCCAAAAGGCAGUGGCGGCACCAUGUCUGGUCCUCGAGCGUAUGGGGCUUUGUCACCCGCUCCCGUAGGUCCAGCUGGCAGCUAGCCUCGCAACCAAUCUUUUUAACCAGGUUGACCUCGGAUCAGGUAGGGAUACCCGCUGAACUUAAGC
rnacentral:misc_RNA from 1 species